AGGUUCCUGCUCUAUGGCCGGUACUGCAGUCAGGUGGAAGCGGCCGCGCGACGCCUGGACCAACUCUCCACCUGCACCGACCUGCGCAUGAAGCUCCAGGAAUGUUCCCAACGGGCCAACAACGGGCGGUUCUCGCUGCGGGACCUGCUGAUGGUGCCCAUGCAGAGGGUGCUCAAGUACCACCUGCUGCUCCAGGAGCUGGUGAAGUUGACCCCGGAGCCGGCGGAGAGGGAGCGGCUCAGGGGGGCCCUGGAUGCCAUGAGGG